rnacentral:rRNA from 1 species
CGAACGGGUGAGUAAUACAUCGGAACGUGUCCGCUCGUGGGGGACGAACCAGCCGAAAGGUUGGCUAAUACCGCAUGAGUUCUACGGAAGAAAGAGGGGGACCCGCAAGGGCCUCUCGCGAGCGGAGCGGCCGAUGACUGAUUAGCCUGUUGGUGAGGUAACGGCUCACCAAAGCAACGAUCAGUAGCUGGUCUGAGAGGACGACCAGCCACACUGGGACUGAGACACGGCCCAGACUCCUACGGAAGGCAGCAG